CAGCCGCCGCGGUAAUACGUAGGGUGCGAGCGUUAAUCGGAAUUACUGGGCGUAAAGCGUGCGCAGGCGGUUGUGUAAGACAGGUGUGAAAUCCCCGGGCUUAACCUGGGAACUGCGCUUGUGACUGCACAGCUAGAGUAUGGCAGAGGGGGGUGGAAUUCCACGUGUAGCAGUGAAAUGCGUAGAGAUGUGGAGGAACACCGAUGGCGAAGGCAGCCCCCUGGGCCAAUACUGACGCUCAUGCACGAAAGCGUGGGGAGCAAACAGGAUUAGAGACCCGCGUAGUCCCUGUCUCUUAUAC
rnacentral:rRNA from 1 species